rnacentral:rRNA from 1 species
AUUGAACGCUGGCGGCAUGCCUUACACAUGCAAGUCGAACGGCAGCACGGGAGCAAUCCUGGUGGCGAGUGGCGAACGGGUGAGUAAUAUAUCGGAACGUGCCCAGUCGUGGGGGAUAACGCAGCGAAAGCUGUGCUAAUACCGCAUACGAUCUCUGGAUGAAAGCGGGGGACUCGCAAGGGCCUCGCGCGAUUGGAGCGGCCGAUAUCAGAUUAGCUAGUUGGUGGGGUAAAAGCCCACCAAGGCGACGAUCUGUAGCUGGUCUGAGAGGACGACCAGCCACACUGGAACUGAGACACGGUCCAGACUCCUACGGGAGGCAGCAGUGGGGAAUUUUGGACAAUGGGCGAAAGCCUGAUCCAGCAAUGCCGCGUGCAGGAUGAAGGCCUCGGGUUGUAAACUGCUUUGUACGGUACGAAAAGGUACCUUUCUAAUUAAA